AGGACAUAGGAAUCCAACUUUCCUGUUGCCCUUGGGAAUGCUCUUUAAGUAGCAGCCAUGUGGCAAGGCCUAGGGUUUUAUUAUAAUUAGAGGUUUGGUCAGUCUUCUCCUUGGGAAGACAGAUGGAGUUUGAGAAUAGAGAUCUGGGUCCUAAUCCUGAUCCUGCUGCUUGGAGGCUCUGAGCAAAAUGUCAAUCCUCAUUUCUCCAUCCACAAAUUGCAUAAAGGUGCAGGGCUGCAGUGCAGGUUGGGUCUUAGAGAAGCAGUCACGUGCAAGCACUUUAUGUCGAGUUAAAUAGACCUGGCUUCAAACUGUGAUUUUAAUUUGUUCAAUGUCUUGCAACAUUUAUUUUAAAUUGUGCAUAACAGUAUCUCUGGUAUGUUGUUGUGAGGAUUAAAUGGAGAUAAUGUGUGUAAAUUGCUUUGUCCAGUGCCUUGCAUAUAGAAAGCACCCAAUAAAUAUCAUCUGUACUCCCGAAAACCCAUCACAGCUUAUGCUGACAAGGUUGAAACUACUAUUUAAAAGGCCUUCGACUCGACUGUCAGGUUGUUUUGAGAGCGACCACUCGCUGUAUAUUUUUUAGUGUGGCUGCAAACGUUCACCUUUUUCUUUAAUGUACAUUUACUAUGGGAAAACGGAAGAUAGCAAAGGAAAAAAGUCUAAAAGCCAGCAGCUCCCCCACCCCCUGCUCCCUCGAAUUCCCCAGAACCAAAUCGUGUUAACAAUAGGCUAAGUCCUAUCAAAGGAUCCCGGGUAUUGACUGCUGGCUGGAGGCGUGCCACUGGAUCUAACCCUUUAAGAUAAAAGAGGGGGAUUGGUGGGAGUUGUGAAGAUGUGAGAUCGGGUGGCUAGCAGGGAAUAGCAGGUCGAAGAAGCCGGCCCGGGGGCUUUCAGGUUCUUAUCACUGCAGCCGCUUAUCUCAUCUCCUCUUCAGGCCUUUACAUGCACGCAAAUAUUUCACAAAGCCGGGAUCAUCCCGCAUCCACUGCUCGAAUCCCGUUUUGGCUGAUGUAACUCUUGCGCGGAGACUGGAGAGUAAUCUUGCCCCCAAAUAGGCAACGCCUGCGCUCCCAGGACCUGGCCGGCCGCGCCCCCCUCGCCUGGAGCGCUGACCAGAGCGGUCCGAGAGCUUGCAGCUCGCCUCGAGGCCCAACCACCCCGACGCCGGUCGGCAGCGUCGAGAUACUCGUUGCGCGUUGCGGUUGCCCCUUUUGGCGGGCUCCGGUGCCCCGAAGCUCCGCCCCCCGGUGCGGGCGAUCCGCACUC
rnacentral:lncRNA from 1 species